UUUCAUCUGCUGCCGAAGUGAAGGAAGAAAGAAAAUAAGAAAAAAAUCAAGAAAAAUUCAUAGAAAAAGAUUUCUAGCUCGGUCUUUCGUGUUCUAUAGCUUGUUGGAAAGAUCUCUUCAAGACCUUUAAUUCAAGAGGUAUGUUUCUUAAAUUCGUAAUCAUUAACGUGUUCAAAAAGAGGGUUGAUUAUAGCUAUGAUUAGUGAUGUUCUUGGUGGAAGAAUUUCAAUAAAUCUUAAGAUAAUUACUAGGAGGUUAUGGUGUUAUAAUAAGCAUGUUUACAUGUUUGGAUUAUUGUUUAAGCUUGUAAAGUUGUUGUUCUUGAUUGGGUUUGAAAGGAUGAUCUGAUAUGAGUAUGAUAUGAUGAUUUGAAGGUUAUAUAAUUGUUUGGGUUGAUGAUUAAUAUGAGUUUAAUCAUGGAAAUGUUAAGAUUAUAGCUGUUACCAUGCCCGAGUUAAUAUAACAGCCGCUGUUACUGUUCAUCGGAACAGUUUAGUUUCGAAUUUAAGAGGGUUUUUUUAUAUGGCUGGAUAGAGUUUGGUUAGUAGAUCGCGUGAGCGCUUGAAUCAUGCAAAACGGAUUUACGGUUUAGAAGUUAUGGCCAUUUUAGUACAGGACGCGCAGAAUCCUAGUUCCCGUAAGAAAUGAACUUCGAGGUUACAAUUUGACGAGUUCAAAGAUGAUAUAAAUCAUGGAAUAAUUUGAGUAAAUACCCGGGACAAAUUGGGAGGUAUACGAGUUGGGUUCAUAAGAAAAACUCGAAUGGUUUAUUAGUGAAAAAUGUCGGAACCUAAAGGUAUAUAUAUUAACAAUAGGUGAGACAAGAAACAGUUAGUGUCAAAUCUCUUUUAAAUGAAAGGAUUAACAAUAAGAGUAAUUAGAGAGGACUUUAAGGGUAGGUAACAUGUACACACACUAUGAUAUAAAGUUAUAAAGGAUCUUAAUGGUUAAUUGUGUCCUAUAUAGGUGCACAGAAAAGUGCAGAAGGACCUUAAGGACAGGAAGUUGUGAUUGAGUUGCUGAAGUAAGGUGAGUAUACAUCAACACUACUUAUAUCUGUGUGAUAUGUGAUUACGUGCUCCUAUAUGCUGAAAGUGAUAUAUUAGAAUACUAAUGUGACUAUGUGAUUCUAUACAUGACUGAAGUUCCUUGAUGUCAAUGUAAUGUCAUGAUAUAUCGAAGUACAGGUAUAUAUGAAAUGUGUAUUGACCUGUGAUUUCACAAAUGGUGCAUUGGCAUAGAGUCUGCAUAUAGAACAGAUCAUAUGCACAUCUUACAUUCAUUGGACAGUGAUAACUUAAAAAGUCAAAGUGACAGUCACUUGUGUAAUGGCCACCUUUAUAUAUGGAACCAACGGGUAAUUACGGAGCAGACUAUAUGUCAGCCAUAGACGGGGCCGACUUAUGUCGGACAUAGACGGAGCCGAUUUCCAUAGUCGGACAUAGACGGAGCUGGCCAGACACACAUGGAUCCUUUGAGGACAUGUGGAAACACGGGCAUUAUACAGUGAACUGUUCACAAUAGCAAAAGAAAGAGAACCGGAGAUGCAUGCAUGCAUAGAUACAAGUUCAUACUUUCAUGGCAUAUAUGAUUAACAUAUGUCAGUGAUUUAUGAUUAAGUAAAACAUAUAUGUGAUGACGUUAUAUCUUGGUGUAAUUUGGGAUGAUGAUAAUAUUAUGAAUGAAAGAUAUUAAUUGCUCUCAUAAAUACUAACAGGAAAUAUAUAUUAAAAUGAAUAUUUUCUUACAAUUGUUUCGAGAACCUUACUUUCUUUUAUUUUCUGGAAGAUUUUACAAAGACGCUAUAAGUUAUUUUCAGACAAUCUCAGUAUCUUUUACAAACUAAAGUUGAUGUAUAUUCAUUGAGUUGCGACUCAUGGAAAUCGCUCAUUUUUCCAGGAUAUGAAUAGUUAGUAGAGUGUUUUUGUAUGAGUGCUCAGUGGAGAUUGUAGAUAGUGCCUAAGAGACGGUGGUCCAGCAGGAUGCUCCAGACUCCUCCAUCAGCCGAUGCACAUAAAUGUAGUUUGAGAGAUUGUAUUUAUGUACUCUAGACUUACUAAGUGUGCAAGAAAAUCAUGAAGACAGAUUUAUAUUUAAAUUCUGAAUAUGUGUGGUGAAUAUGGAUGAUGGAAAUGUAUUGAAAUGUUAUGUUGCUUGGUAAAUGUUGUUGAAGUAGUUGAGAUUUUAUGUUCUGGUGAAGAUCAAGAUAUAGCCAAGCGAUAGCUGAAGAUUAUGUUAUCCACUUAUACAGGAAAUGAUAUUUCAUAAUAUUAUUAAAUAAGAUGAUUUAGUCCGAAAUGCAUGAAUGAUUAUAUGGUAUAAGGGUGUUACAAAGACUGCGAGAAAACUGCUUUCAUCACUCAUAGAGGAGUAUACUGCUACAAGGUCAUGCCUUUCGGUCUCAUCAACGCGGGCGCCACCUACCAACGCAUGAUGAAUAAGAUCUUCGCACCGCAAUUAGGACGCAACAUGGAAGUCUAUGUCGAUGACAUGAUUGUCAAAUCUAUGCUCCAAGAGACGCACUUGACCGACCUGCGAGAAUGCUUCGCAAACCUCAGAAAACACAACAUGAAACUUAACCCCGACAAAUGCACUUUCGCCCUGGGAGCGGGAAAAUUCUUGGGUUUCCUGGUGAGCCAGCGCGGGAUCGAGGCCAGCCCGGAAAAAAUCCAGGCCGUCAUUGACAUGCAGCCCCCAAAAACCAUCAAGGACGUUCAACGCCUCACGGGGCGCCUCGCAGCAUUGCGACGGUUUAUAUCCAAGCUUGCGGAACGAUGCCUCCCUUUCUUCGACACCCUCAAAGGAGCACUCAAAACCAAAAAGCUCACAUGGACAGAGGAAUGCCAAAAGGCCUUUGAGGACCUCAAGACAUACCUGGCAUCCGCGCCACUCUUGACGACCGCGUCCCCUAGCGAACCAUUGUCACUAUAUCUGGCAGUUUCUGACAAAACGGUGGGCGCAGUGCUUAUUAAGGAAGCAGAAACGGUGCAAAGACCAGUUUACUAUGUCAGCCAAACACUAAAGGACGCAGAAACCCGCUACCCCAAUGCAGAGAAAACAGCCCUAGCCCUUGUCAUGGCAAGCAGGAAGCUUCGUCACUAUUUCCAAGGGCGAGAGAUACGGGUCGUCACGAAUCAACCCUUGCGCAAAAUCCUCCACAAGCCUGAGCUGUCAGGACGACUUAUUAACUGGGCGAUCGAGCUCAGCCAAUUCCACCUCACUUAUAUCCCGAGAACCGCAAUCAAAGCACAGGCCCUGGCAGACUUCGUCGUGGAGUGUAACUUUGCUAAACCAGACGAGGAGGCACCGGACAACCAAAAACCCCUCCCGGUAGCGGAAGGGUGGAAGCUUUACGUGGACGGCUCCGCCACCAACACCAGAUGCGGAGCCGGGGCAAUACUCAUUAGCCCGGAUGGUUUUUGUAUAAAACAAGCCCUUCAGCUCAACUUCAAGGCCACCAACAACCAGGCGGAGUAUGAGGCCCUGCUCUCAGGUUUAGACCUCGCCCUAACUCUGCAACUGCAAAAUCUUACCAUAUACAGCGACUCCCAGCCCAAAUCCACACACAAGUCAACCGCCAUUGUACGGCAAAUUACAAUCCCAAAAGAAUAAGUUCAAAUAGUCUAACCAGCCAAGUUCAAACGUAACUUAAAAAGCAACAGUUUAGAGACAAAGGAGUUAAAUGGUGGGGGUCUCGGUCGAGUCAUCAAUAAGCUCUUCAUCUCCCUCCGGGGUGGCAGCCUCGGUCCCGGGUUGCUUCUCUGCAUCAGCCAUGACCGUGUCCGGGUUUUCCCUUUCCUCAGCUGCGGAGCGGGAAACCUCUGUUUCCUCCGCCGCGGGAUUCUCAUCCACGGUUCCCAAAGGUUUUGGACUCUUUGUCCCAGCACUACCUCCAGAGCUGCCACCCGCGCUCUCAAGCUCCUUCACCCGGUCAGCAAGCUUUUUGUUCUUCUUCUUCCUCUUGUGUGCCUUAGACUUUGCUUUCUUCAAGGAAGAUGCCAGAUCCGCUACCCGCUUCUCCAAAGCGUCAACACCGGAAGAAGAACCACACGCGCCCGCAACUAAGCUCAAAUACUCUGCACUUUCUUUCACAGAAGAGACUCCCUCUUCAAAAGCUUUGGCCAAGGCAGCCCGAUAUUCAACACUAGCCUGAUAUUUCCGGAUGGCCAUCUCCUCAGUGGGUCGCGACGCAACCAUAGCUUCAGCUUCUUCGGCACGCUUGCGCAGCUCGGUGAAAGUCCGCUCCGAGGCCGCCUCCUUCCCCUCCCAAAAAAGCCUUUGGGUCUCCAACUCCUUGUCCACAAGGCCCCUUCGAUCCGAAAGCACCUGCCAGUCAGCUUUGAGAGUCUCCAUCUCUUGGGCAAGUUCUUUCUUUUGAUCCUCGACUGCAUGGAAGUUCUCCACCAAGGUCUUCUUUUGACCUUCAAGAUCAGCAACCUGCUUCCGCAGUGCAAUGUUGUCCUGGCGGAACAUUUCUCCCCGGGUGCUUAACGCCAAGUCAUACCCUCGAGCCUGCAACAACCAUCAGAAAACAUAUCACAACCCACAUACACAAAAUUAAACGCUAAGUACAAAAGCAACUGCACAAACACAUACCUUCCUGUGAUGGAGCUCGGAACGACGCACCAGCUUUUUCCAUCCCAACCCAUCCAACUUUUCAAAAUCAUCCUCAGUGAGGCCAACCUGUCCUGGUGGCCCGGCUCCAAACAAAUUACCUCGCCCCACACGGCGGGCAUCCACAGGUCCCACCUCAUCUUCGGUCCCGGACGCAUCCCCAGCACUGACACCCGCCAUCAAAUCCACGUUGCCGCGGCGCUUCACGCGACGCCCAAUCUGGGCACUCAAGGUCAACUUCCGACCACUGCCAGCACUGCGAACCCGCUUUCUCCGCCUGGGAACUUCGGGAGUCCGUCCCUCUGUUGUCAGGUUCUCCAGCAUCAAUACAGUCGACGACCCGCCGACCUCAACAACUUCUUUCUCUCCAGCUGCACGGGACGAUCCCGCCUCCACAACUUUCCCGCCAGCCUGUACACUGACCUCAGUUUCACCCUCCCCGCCAAGACCAUCGUCAAACUCGCCCGCGGUGGUAUGACCGCCACCUUCUCUUUCUUCGCUGUCCGCAAUCUCAUGGAUCUCAGGACUCCUCUCAACGUCCUCCUCAUCAUCAUCUGCAUCCCCAAACACACCUUGGUUUUCCACCUCCUCACUUGGCACAUUUUCUUCCUGCUCAGUCGCGGGUUCCGGUUCAUCCCUCAAGAGCAGCACGCGGCCUCGGGACGCCGUCCCCGAGGUAGAGGCACCAAUGGCCGUUCCCGCAGGUUGCACCACCGCCCCCCGUGUCGCCCUAGCAGCCGCGCGUCCCGCUCGGCUUUGCGCCGGCGUGCGUCGCCUUGCCUGCGACCGCCCUUCACCUUCAACCCGGGCAGCACCCCUAUACCUGGGGGGAUUUCGGUUUAGCAGGCCCGUGAGCAAUUUUAUCUCUUCUUCAUCAGUCAUGCCCUCCAAGGGCGGCAACUCCGUCAAUCGCGGGUCCAGGACUGCAAGUUCAAGCAACAUAUCACAACACUAUAAAGCCAAAAACCCACCAAACACAAAGCAAACUCCCCCCACAUUUAGUAAAGUCAAAAACUUACGCAGGUAUAGUUGCAGCCUCCCGUUCUCAAAGAAUGCAUUCUUGGUCCAGGUACUCCCCAACGCCUUCGUAAUACCAACCAGUAUCUCCACGUCAACCGCGGACAAUUGAUCCCGCGGCGCGCGAUAACUCUUCUCUACUUUCCGGGCCAUAUUAGGCAUCCACGCCAGUUCGCCACCCGCCACCACCAGAAACUCAUACUGCCAGUCCGUCAUGCUAUUCGGAAAAUCAAAGGGCAUAUAGUCCACAAGCUCUCUGCCAAUCACGCUGCUCUUAUUGGCAAAAGGCAACUCCACAAACGGCUUGGCCGUGCUCGUCUUGAUGUUAAACAGGUGAAAAAAGGCCUUAAAGGUAGGCUGCUUCCCCAGAGCGGUGCAACUCGCUAUAAACCAGUUAAUAGCCCGGAUCGCGUUGGGCGUGAUCUGCGAGAUAGAGCACUUCAAAUGCACGCAGACAAGGUCCCACAUAAAGCGAUGCAUCGGGAACCUCAAGCCCGCCUUCAGCUGUUCGAGGGUCACGCAUAUGGACCCGCCAGCACCACGAUGAUGCAACCUCUCCUCUUCCCGGGCAGGCCUCCAGCUAUAGUCACUCCCAAACCUAAACAGCUUCGCCAUGUAUGGCCCAUACUCCGCCACAUUGAACGUACUCCUCCUCUGGAGAUGAUCACAGCCUGCCAGUUCUUGCUCCACCUUGGCAUUGUUUAUCUCCACUGGGCGUAUCUUGAAGGUCCGGUAGAAACUACUCUGAUCCUCAAAAAACCUGUAAUGCAGGUCUUUCGGCGGGAGUGGAAUAGUAAACCGCGGAAAAUCCCGCCAUCGACCAGACAAACUAAUCAGCGGCCUUGCCUCCCGCGUCACGGGAUCAAAACAAUCUUCCCCGGGCAUGGCAGCCAUUUCUUCUUCAGUACCCGGAUGAAUAGCUUCCAGACGCACCUCUUCAGCCACAGCAGUCAUCAAUUACCUGCAAGAUGGCCACACAGAGAACAGCCCGUUACAAACAUCGCCUCCAUCCCGUCAACAUUAGCGGCAUACAAAUCAAAGACAAAAACACGUUUCACAACACAACCCCUUUGCGUUACCCGCGACCCCCAUACAAACAUAUUAUCAAACACCUACAGUACAAACACGUGCAACCGCCGCAUAUUACAAACCUUAAAACUUCAACCUAACCCUAAUGGUGCACAACCCGAGACAACAAUCCCGAGGUCGCUACACCGCCAUCAGACCGCAAACGCCACCGUGCGGACGGCAGCCAUGGCGACGAAAGCUCCACUACUACCACCACAAAUCAAAGACGAAAACACAGACAUUCAGGCAUUUCAAAAAACUGAAAGACAAGCCCUAAAACACCGAUCUACCCACACUACGGCGCAACAACACGAUUACGACACUUAUAUACGCCGGCGAGCAACCAAAUACACAAAACACAGUAAGAGCGGCAGCAAACACGAUGAACAAAGCAAAGUCUAAAAACAUCAGCAAACUACGACUCAGCAACAACAUCAAGAGAAAAGACAAGCAUAAACUUAAAGGAUCGCCGGCGACGCUUACUUGUUAACGGAAAUGACAAAGAGAACGGUUGCACUUUACUCCCCUGAACGAUCUCUCGCAACUUACAGGUGAAAAAGCGGAGCACUUCGAAAAAACUAAAGCUUCAGACAAAUAUACUCAGAACUGGUUUUUAAGACAUACAUAUAUACCCCCACAGUUACCAAGAGGUGCAUUAACUGCAUGGCCACGUGCACACACACGAUUGGCUCAAAAACUGCACCAUCACACCCACCCCUCCUCAAAAGCCGCAUAAACCGUACUUCAUCCCCAAAAAACCCCCAACUUCGAAAACCGGUGNCCACAACAUUCUCGCAUUCAAUUUUAUUCCACAUUUAUUACUCAAUUUAUUACCAGUCAUAAAUUGGUCGAAGACAAAAAACAUAAAUACAAGCAAGCCAAAAGCCCGCGGGAAAGCAAAACACUUCACAUAUAUAUAUCAAGGUUCUUUUUAAUACAAGCCAAAGCGGACUCAGUCCGCGACAAAGAAGCCCUAUUUCUACAGCUGAGCCUCCAAAUCCGCAAUGCGGGCUUGGACAUCCUCUAAUCGCUCCUGCAGCUCGUCCCUCUCUUCCCGGGCCGCAGUCAGCCUCUCCGCCACCGUAGCCUCCGGCACGGGUUCCGGCCGAUCAAUGGGCACAUACCACCGCCCAUUGAUCUGCACCGCCGCUCGCCCGCGUCCCGGGACCAGCAUCCUCUCAUACACCUCCUCAAGGAGAUCGUCAUAGGGAAGACCAUCUUCCAACAUAUCAGCCAACCUCCUAGCAAAAGGAUCAGUAGGCAAAUCGUUGAACAGGGUAAGAAGUUCGACCCUCCUCAUCCAACGCAUCUGCGUCCCAUAGCUCCCACUGGACACAUCACUCCCGUUGCUCACAGAUGCCGAAGAAUUAUCAGACAUUUUUUACAGAACUUUCACAGGAAAAAGAACGAUUUGACGAUUAGAAGAGAAGAAAGAAGAUGAACGCACAGAUGAAGUGCACAAAUGAACUUCUCUAGCCCUUGAUUAGUCCAUAUUUUUGCAUAUUUAAGUGCCUAUUUUUUGUUUAUUUUCGUAGUAUUAAUCGCUUAUUUAUUUUAUUUCAGGAAAUUGUAGAUAAAUAAAGAAAGAAGAAUAAUUGCAAAAAAAGGGGAAGAAAAAGAAAAGAAAAGAAGAAAAAAGAGAGUUGGCAAGUAAGGGGGCACAUGGAGGGCUAUGAUCUACCCAACACACAAGGCACAUGGAUGGUCAAGAUUUAGCCACCCUACCCCUAAACCCUAAAUCUUUAGCUAUAAAUACCCCACCUUUUUACUUGUAAUCAUCAUCUUUUUAACCUAGUCUUUUCCUAGUUGGUAGGUAGUAUAGUACUAGAUCUUCUUUUGUUCUCUCAAUUUCAUACCAUAUUUG
rnacentral:lncRNA from 1 species